UCCCUGGUGGUCCAGUGGUUAAGACUCCACACUUCCACUGCAGGGGCACAGGUUUGAUCCCUGAUUGGGGAA
rnacentral:tRNA from 1 species